CACGGAGCUUGCUCUGGUGGCGAGUGGCGAACGGGUGAGUAAUAUAUCGGAACGUACCCUGGAGUGGGGGAUAACGUAGCGAAAGUUACGCUAAUACCGCAUACGAUCUACGGAUGAAAGUGGGGGAUCGCAAGACCUCAUGCUCGUGGAGCGGCCGAUAUCUGAUUAGCUAGUUGGUAGGGUAAAAGCCUACCAAGGCAUCGAUCAGUAGCUGGUCUGAGAGGACGACCAGCCACACUGGAACUGAGACACGGUCCAGACUCCUACGGGAGGCAGCAGUGGGGAAUUUUGGACAAUGGGCGAAAGCCUGAUCCAGCAAUGCCGCGUGAGUGAAGAAGGCCUUCGGGUUGUAAGGCUCUUUUGUCAGGGAAGAAACGGUGAGGGCUAAUAUCCCUUGCUAAUGACG
rnacentral:rRNA from 1 species